rnacentral:rRNA from 1 species
UACGGGGGGGCAAGCGUUGUUCGGAAUUACUGGGCGUAAAGGGCGCGUAGGCGGCCCCUCUUGUCGCGUGUGAAAGCCCCGGGCUCAACCUGGGAACGGCGCGCGAGACGGGGGGGCUGGAGUCCGGAAGAGGCGAGUGGAAUUCCUGGUGUAGCGGUGGAAUGCGCAGAUAUCAGGAGGAACACCGAUGGCGAAGGCAGCUCGCUGGGACGGUACUGACGCUGAGGCGCGAAAGCGUGGGGAGCGAACAGG